GAACAACCUGGCUACCAACCAUUAGGUAUUUUUUAAAAAGGCCAUCCUAGACCAUGUAGUCCAAGUGAGCUCGCCCAGAACAGAAGACCCACCCAGCUGACUCGUAGAAUCAAACCAUCGGAGGCCUGUGAGUAGCAGAGUGACACUGGCUGCUGUGUGGAGAGCGCUGUGUGGCAAGCAGGAGUAGAAACAAGGAGCUGUUCGAGGAGACGACAGGAGCUCUGCGCAGGGAGACAGAGGAGGCAGUGCGCGGGGUGGAGAGCUGUGGUGGCAGGACUCUGUUCAAGGGGACUGAAACGCAGGCGGCAUCCUCUGGACUUAAUUGGUUCCAAAUUAGGAAUGUGACCACUUGUGCCAGGGUUCUUAGAAGCACUUCCUCAUCCCUAAGAGUGGUCUUCUUUCUCUGGAUACUGGCGUGUUUGGAUUGUGAUGCCAAGGUUUUUUGCUAUCAUCUGUCUCUUGCCCAAGGAGGAAGCUGUUCUCUGAAGGAUGAGAGAGUAAAGAUUGGAGGAGCCUUGGAUCCUUCAUGACCUUGUUGUGCAACAGCAUCUAUCAACCUUGCCCUCCCUAUGAACUUCCUUGUUAUAUGAUAUAAUAAAUUUCCCAAUUGUUUCAGUAUUAGUCACAGUGUGAAUGGGUUUUAUUAUUAGCAGCUAAAACAUUCUGUUCACCAAGUGCCACUUGGUAACACUGAUUUUCCACAAAUGCUGGUAAAAUGCUCACUUCAACUCAUCCCACAUUCUCCAGCAUAGUUAGAGAAUGCUCUGGAGAAUAUACAUGGGUCCAGAUUUUUUAGAAACUCUCCAGGUACGCAGACCUCAGUCUUGUCAGGGUUAGUCUAUGUCAAAAACUUCUAUUCUCUUCCUUUCAGCCAAGUACUCCAUUGACCUUCAUUGCAGACUCAAGCCAGGUUUGAGAAUGUAAUUCUUUCUUAACUGAAAGCAUAUAAGAGUUACCAGGAGUCAAGAUGCCAUGAGCUAUUUGUCCCUGUAUCUAUUAUUGAGGUGCCCAAAAAGUUUGUUUGGGUUUUUCUGUAAACUGUAACAAACUCGAAUGAACUUUUUGACCAACCCAAUAUUUAAAGUCUGCUUAAGUUCCAGACUCUUUUUGACUAGUCUGCUGAUUGGGUUUCCGACUUCAUGCUGUCUUUCU
ensembl:lncRNA